UAACUUGACUGCAACAAUAUAAAUGGAUGAAGUCUUACAAAAUCCAGAAUUUCAAAUUAAGUUGUCUGAACUACUUGAUCAAGAUUGGUAUAAGAUUGGUAUUUUCUUAAAUGUCUCAAAAGAUAGUUUAGAAUCAAUUAAAAGGGAUUCUAUAAAUUUUCGAGUACAAGAAGACAAAGCAUAUCAAAUGAUAAUAAAAUGGUUCAAUAUAGAUGAAAAUCCAACGUUAAAUAAAUUAAAAACUGCCAUAUUAAAAAUUCCAAAAAAUGAUUUAUGGAAGAAGGUGGAGGAUCUUGCAAAAAUGUUUUUAAACGAUUCUUCACAUUCACCAAGUAACACUAGCGAAAGAAAGUCUUUAUUAAA
rnacentral:lncRNA from 1 species